AUUUCCCUUCCUGGAACAGGAACAGCAUUCGCUUUGGCUGGGCUUCUGGUUUUCAUUGGAUCGUUUUCACUGGGCAUGGGGGGGAUACCAUGGGUCAUAAUGUCGGAGAUCUUUCCCAUAAACAUGAAAGGAUAAGCAGGAAGCUUUGUGACAUUAGUAAACUGGCUCAGUUCAUGGAUCGUCUCAUACGCCUUCAACUUUCUCCUGAUGUGGAGCACUUACGGAACAUUCUUCAUCUUUGCGAGCAUUUGCGGGAUCACAGUUGUGUUUGUGGAGCGGUUAGUGCCAGAAACUAAAGGAAGAACCUUAGAAGAGAUUCAGGGCUCCAUGAGCUCGUCCUUGACGCCGUUUCACAAAUGAUUUUUAGCUUUUUUUUGUCUGAAAUAGCAUAUUCCCUGGAUAUAUAUGUUUAGUUUUUGCCAGGGAUCCAGCCUAUUGUACACAAAAAAAUGUACAUUAUAUUUCCCAAUAACAUAUGCACACUAGAUUUUGAACAGCAAAACAGCUUGUCACUGAUUGAACCUGUCACGAGUCUAGUGGUUUGGAAGCAAAGAACUCAUGCAACCUAGCCGGCUUCUAGAAGAGUUGGAAUUUGGAAAUGUUACUGGAUGCUAACAAGAGGAGAUCGCUCACUUCAAGAGUCUGCCAGCAUGUAAAUGUUGCU